GACGAACGCUGACGGCGUGCCUAAUACAUGCAAGUAGAACGCUGAAGGAGGAGCUUGCUUCUCUGGAUGAGUUGCGAACGGGUGAGUAACGCGUAGGUAACCUGCCUGGUAGCGGGGGAUAACUAUUGGAAACGAUAGCUAAUACCGCAUAAUAGUAGAUGUUGCAUGACAUUUGCUUAAAAGGUGCAAUUGCAUCACUACCAGAUGGACCUGCGUUGUAUUAGCUAGUUGGUGGGGUAACGGCUCACCAAGGCGACGAUACAUAGCCGACCUGAGAGGGUGAUCGGCCACACUGGGACUGAGACACGGCCCAGACUCCUACGGGAGGCAGCAGUAGGGAAUCUUCGGCAAUGGACGGAAGUCUGACCGAGCAACGCCGCGUGAGUGAAGAAGGUUUUCGGAUCGUAAAGCUCUGUUGUAAGAGAAGAACGAGUGUGAGAGUGGAAAGUUCACACUGUGACGGUAUCUUACCAGAAAGGGACGGCUAACUACGUG
rnacentral:rRNA from 1 species